UACGGAGGGUGCGAGCGUUAAUCGGAAUUACUGGGCGUAAAGCGCGCGUAGGCGGUUUGAUAAGCUGGAUGUGAAAUCCCCGGGCUCAACCUGGGAAUUGCAUCCAGAACUGUCUGACUAGAGUACAGUAGAGGUGAGUGGAAUUUCCUGUGUAGCGGUGAAAUGCGUAGAUAUAGGAAGGAACAUCAGUGGCGAAGGCGACUCACUGGACUGAUACUGACGCUGAGGUGCGAAAGCGUGGGGAGCAAACAGGAUUAGAUACCCCGGUAGUCC
rnacentral:rRNA from 1 species